CGAGGGGGCGCAUUAAAAUGUUUGUUAAACAGCGCAUCAGGCGAGCAAGUUUGACCAAGAGCUAAUAUAAACAAUGGAAGCGGUGAAAAUGGGUGUGUAGGACGGGUCAGCACAAUCUACAUAACCAUUCCAGCGGUUAAAUCACUCCUUGUUGGUCUUCCUUACGCGAUGCGUGGUGCUCAAAACACGUGACUUUAAAUUACAGCGAGAUUCUCGCCACUGUAAGCCGCCUCCAUUGUGGUGGCCCCCUCCCUGUCUUCAUCAGAGCUGGCUGUCCAAUAGGAUUACUGUAAGCCUGCGGUAGGAGCAGCCGACCCGCCACUGAUCAGAAAAUCAUAUCCCUGGAUGCUAGAUUGCUCCUCUCCCCACUUUGCCCUUGUGACGGCAGAGGCUGCUGUCAUGGUGUCAGACGAGAGGGGGAAGAAAAAAAAUUUGCAUUCACAGCCCCCCAAAUUUCGCUGUCCAGCACAUAAUCACAAAAGAAAGUAAAUGAAUAGUAAUUCAGUUUGUCAGGAUAUGAGAAUCGCCGUGCCGUGGAGGAGAAGAAUCUCUGGUUGGAGAAAAAAAGAGAAUAUUUGUAAUGGCUUCCCUUCUGCACACCUCCAUUUUGACUGACUGGCUGCUUUUUCUUCCUCUAGAUUUUUCAAUUUCUGUUCCCUUCCCAACUCUAAAUGCACAUCCAAUCUACAUAUACACAUUGUUUUGUGUUUAUUUUAUUUGAAUUGAAUUGACAAAAAACUAAACCUCAAGUUUUAUUUGUGCAAAUGUGACAUUUUUGGGGACAGUUUUGGGGGCCAGCUGAGCACAAGGCAGAGGGAAUUAAUCAUAGAAAGAGCGGAAGGUCACUGACUGGCUCCUGAAACAUCACUGUGGGUCAUGCGUCUCGGGGCCACGGCUUCAUACACACACCACACUUGUCUUAUCCCCCGUCUGCUUUUUCCCCGGUCCAAGACGAGGCUAGCUCAACCCCAGACACAUGCAGGCGCUCGCACACACUCGCUCAAACACAGUGAAAUAGGGCGGUUCAGAAGACGGAAAUGUUCUGUGAAGUGUUCACAGUGUGGUUUCUGUGGAUGGUCUUCAGCAGCAGCAGAAUCCUCUGAGGAACUGGCCUGACUCAUCUGCGUCUGUGACAGGUAAGAAAAGAAACCAAACAACUCACAGCAAGACAAGCAGAGAGCUGCCCUGCACAAUGCGCCCUAUUUUUUUUUCCUUUCUUUUUUGCGGUGACUAGAUAUUCAUUUUCACACCUCGCUUCUCCAUAUUUAUGAUUGCCCAUGAGAACAUUUUUUAUUUAUGCUGACUUCUUUCAUAAACUGGACAGCGGUUUCUUUUUUUUUUCUCCAUGUGUGUCAAAACAAUCUCAGAUUUAUAAUUUAUGUGAUUUAUGAUCGCUAUAAGCUAUCAAAAAGUGUCAAAAGAAAAGUUUUUUUUUGAGUACAAGGUGAAAUCAAAUGUUUAGAUGGUUUAUAAUUCACAAUCUGACUUCUUAAUUAGUCUAACUGAAUGACCAAUGUUUCAUUUGAACUUUUUUAGCUUUUGUCUCAAAGUGUGUUUUGUAGGCCAGCAAAUUUUGAAUUCAUAUCCACAUAAAUGUGUAUAAAAAAUCUUUUUAGAGUGAGCUUUUGCCUUUAGGGGUUUCUACCGGAAUCUUUAAUGUGGUG
ensembl:lncRNA